rnacentral:rRNA from 1 species
UACGAGUGUCUCAAGCGUUAUCCGGAAUCAUUGGGCGUAAAGGGUGUGUAGGUGGUCUUGUUAGUCUCGCGUUAAAUUCUUCGGCUCAACCGGGGGCAUGCGCGGGAAACGGCAGGACUUGACGGUGCAAGAGGUCUGCGGAACUCAUAGUGUAGCGGUGAAAUGCGUUGAUAUUAUGGGGAACACCAAAGGCGAAGGCAGCAGACUGGGGCACUCGUGACACUGAAACACGAAAGCGUGGGUAGCGAAUGGG